UACAGAGGGAGCAAGCGUUGUUCGGAAUUACUGGGCGUAAAGCGCACGUAGGCGGUCCAGCAAGUCGGGUGUGAAAGCCCUCGGCUUAACCGAGGAAGUGCAUUCGAAACUACUGGACUUGAAUACUGGAGAGGAUCGCGGAAUUCCCGGUGUAGAGGUGAAAUUCGUAGAUAUCGGGAGGAACACCAGUGGCGAAGGCGGCGAUCUGGACAGAUAUCGACGCUGAGGUGCGAAAGCGUGGGGAGCAAACAGG
rnacentral:rRNA from 1 species